rnacentral:rRNA from 1 species
CCCUAGUAGCGGCGAGCGAAGCGGGAAGAGCUCAAAUUUAUAAUCUGGCACCUUCGGUGUCCGAGUUGUAAUCUCUAGAAAUGUUUUCCGCGUUGGACCGCACACAAGUCUGUUGGAAUACAGCGGCAUAGUGGUGAGACCCCCGUAUAUGGUGCGGACGCCCAGCGCUUUGUGAUACAUUUUCGAAGAGUCGAGUUGUUUGGGAAUGCAGCUCAAAUUGGGUGGUAAAUUCCAUCUAAAGCUAAAUAUUGGCGAGAGACCGAUAGCGAACAAGUACCGUGAGGGAAAGAUGAAAAGCACUUUGGAAAGAGAGUUAACAGUACGUGAAAUUGUUGGAAGGGAAACGCUUGAAGUCAGACUUGCUUGCCGAGCAAUCGGUUUGCAGGCCAGCAUCAGUUUUCCGGGAUGGAUAAUGGUAGAGAGAAGGUAGCAGUUUCGGCUGUGUUAUAGCUCUCUGCUGGAUACAUCUUGGGGGACUGAGGAACGCAGUGUGCCUUUGGCGGGGGUUUCGACCUCUUCACACUUAGGAUGC